rnacentral:rRNA from 1 species
ACUGGGGUGAAGUCGUAACAAGGUAACCCUACUGGAAGGUGGGGUUGGAUCACCUCCUU